rnacentral:rRNA from 1 species
UAGCUAUAUUCAUUUUGACGUUUAGCUGUCAGAAGAAGCACCGGCUUAACUCCGUGCCAGCAGCCGCGGUUAAUACGGACCGGGUGCGAGCGUUUAAUCGGAAUUACUGGGCGUAAAGCGCAUGCAGGUGGUUUGUUAAGUCAGAUGUGAAAGCCCGGGGCUCAACCUCGGAAUUGCAUUUUGAAAACUGGCAAACUAGAGUACUGUAGAGGGGGUAGGAAUUUCAGGUGUAGCGGUGAAAUAGCGUAGAGAUCUGAAGGAAUACCGGUGGCGAAGGCGGCCCCCUGGACCAGAUACUGACACUCAGAUGCGAAAGACGUGGGGAGCAAACAGGAUUAGAUACCCUCGGUAG